rnacentral:rRNA from 1 species
AAAACUUUUAAUAACGGAUCUCUUAGUUCUAGUAUCGAUAAAGAACGUAGCGAAAUGCGAUAAGUAAUAUAAAUUAUAGAAUUUAGUAAAUUAUCGAAUCUUUAAACGUAUAUUACGCCCCCUAGUAUUCCGGGGGGUAUGCCCGUCCGAGCGUUAUUAUACUACUCUAGCCUCGCUAGGUAUUAGGCGUCUUUCGCGGGGGAUUACCCCCCCGCGCGCCUUAAAGUCUCCGGCUAAGCGGUCUCGUCUCCUAGCAUUAUAGUAUUACGUCUCGCUACGGAGUUUACGAGCCCUUACGGCCAUUAAAUUAUACCUUAGGUUAACCUCGGAUCGGGUAGGGAUACCUACUAAACUUAAGUAUAUUAAUAAGCGGAGGAAAAGAAACUAAUAGGGAUUGCCCUAGUAAUAGCGAGUAAAGCGGCAAUAGCUUAAAUUUAAAAUCUAGCCCCCCGGCCCGAGUUAUAAUUUAUAGAGGAUGCUUCUAGGUAGCGACCGGUCUAAGUUCCUUAGAAUAGGACGUUAUAGAGGGUAAGAAUCCUAUAUACGACCGGCCCCCGCCCUCUACGUAGCUCCUUCGACGAGUCGAGUUGUUUAGGAAUAUAGCUCUAAAUAGGAGGUAAAUUUCUUCUAAAGCUAAAUACCGGCUAGAGACCGAUAGCGUAUAAGUAGAGUAAUCGAAAGAUAAAAAGUACUUUAGAAAGAGAGUUAAAAAGUACGUAAAAUUAUUAAAAGGGAAGCGCUUAUAACUAGACUUUAGGGCGGUAUUCCGCUAGUCUUCUAACCGGUCUACUCUCCGUCCUAAGGCUAAUAUUAUCUAGGACCGCCGGAUAAGACCUUAGGAAUAUAGCUCCCCCUCGGGGGAGUAUUAUAGCCUAUAGUAAUACGGCGCGUCCCGGGUAAGGUCCGCGCUUUAGUAAGGAUAUUAGCGUAAUAGUUAUUAGUAGCCUAUCUUAAAACACGGACUAAGGAGUCUAAUAUCUAUACGAGUGUUCGGGUAUUAAACCCCUACGCGGAAUAAAAGUAAACGGAGGUAGGAAGGGGUAACCCUAUACUAUCGACCGAUCCUAAUGUCCUCGAAUAGAUUUAAGUAAGAGUAUAGCUAUUAGAACCCGAAAGAUAGUAAACUAUACCUAAAUAGGGUAAAGCUAGAGGAAACUCUAGUAGAGGCUCGUAGCGGUUCUAACGUACAAAUCGAUCGUUAAAUUUAGGUAUAGGGGCGAAAGACUAAUCGAACUAUCUAGUAGCUAGUUCCUACCGAAGUUUCCCUUAGGAUAGUAGUAACGUUUUUAGUUUUAUAAGGUAAAGCGAAUAAUUAGAGGCCUUAGGGUUAAAACAACCUUAACCUAUUCUUAAACUUUAAAUAUAUAAGAAGUCCUUAUUACUUAGUUAAACGUAGACAUUUAAAUGUAUCGUUACUAGUAGGCUAUUUUUAGUAAGUAGAACUAGCGAUAUAGGAUAAACCGAACGUAAGGUUAAGGUACCGGAAUAUACGCUUAUUAGAUACUAUAAAAGGUAUUAGUUUAUCUAGAUAGUAGGACGGUAGCUAUAGAAGUCGGAAUCCGCUAAGGAGUAUAUAAUAACUUACCUACCGAAUAAACUAGCCCUAAAAAUAGAUAGCGCUUAAGCGUACUACCUAUACCUCGCCGCUAGGGUAGAAACGAUGCCCUAGCGAGUAGGUAGGUAUAGAGGUCCGUAACGAAGCCUUAGGGGUAACCCCGGGUCGAACGGCCUCUAGUACAGAUCUUAGUAGUAGUAGUAAAUACUUAAAUAAGAACUUUAAGGACUAAAGUAGGGAAAGGUUCCGUAUAAAUAGUAGUUAGAUACGGGUUAGUCGAUCCUAAGCUAUAGGGAAAUUCCGUUUUAAAGUAUAUACUCCGUACUACCCGGGGAAAGGGAAACCGGUUAAUAUUCCGGUACCUAGAUAUAGAUUAUCCGCGGUAACGUAACUAAAGGUAGAGACGUCGGUAGGGGCCCCGGGAAGAGUUCUCUUUUCUUCUUAACGGUCCGUUACCCUAAAAUCGGUUUAUCCGGAGCUAGGGUUUAACAACCGGUAGAGCGGCGUACCUUUAUACCGUCCGGUACGCUCCCGACGAUCCUUAAAAAUCUACCGGAAGGAAUAAUUUUUACGCUAGGUCGUACUUAUAACCGUAGUAGGUCUCUAAGGUAAAUAGCCUCUAGUUAAUAGAAUAAUAUAGAUAAGGGAAGUCGGUCUUCGGCCGUCCGGCGCGCGCUUAAUAACUAACUUAGAACUAGUACGGAUAAGGGGAAUCUAACUAUCUAAUUAAAACAUAGUAUUACGAUAGUUAGAAAGUAAUAUUAACGUAAUAUAAUUUCUACCUAGUACUCUAAAUAUUAAAGUAAAGAAAUUUAAUUAAGCGCGGGUAAACGGUAGGAGUAACUAUAACUCUCUUAAGGUAGCUAAAUGCCUCGUUAUCUAAUUAGUAACGCGUAUAAAUAGAUUAACGAGAUUCCUACUAUCCCUAUCUACUAUCUAGCGAAACUAUAGCUAAGGGAACGGGCUUAGUAGAAUUAGUAGGGAAAGAAGACCCUAUUAAGCUUAACUCUAGUUUAAUAUUAUAAAAAGACAUAGGGGGUAUAGAAUAGGUAGGAGCUUCGGCGCCGGUAAAAUACUACUACCCUUAUCGUUUUUUUACUUAAUUAAUAAAGCGGAACUAGUCUUUACCGACUAUUUUCUAGCGUUAAGGUUAUUCGCGGGCCGAUCCGGGUUAAUAAUAUUAUUAGGUAGGGAGUUUAGCUAGGGCGGUACAUCUAUUAAACUAUAACGUAGGUGUCCUAAGGGGGACUUAUAGAGAAUAGAAAUCUCUAGUAGAGUAAAAGGGCAAAAGUCCCCUUAAUUUUAAUUUUUAGUAUAAAUAUAAACUAUAAAAGUAUAGCCUAUCGAUUCUUUAGUCCCUCGAAAUUUAAGGCUAGAGGUACUAGAAAAGUUACUAUAAGGAUAACUAGCUUAUAGUAGCUAAGCGUUUAUAGCGACGUUACUUUUUAAUCCUUUAAUGUCGGCUCUUCCUAUUAUACCGAAGUAGAAUUCGGUAAGUAUUAGAUUAUUUACCUACUAAUAGGGAACGUAAGCUAGGUUUAGACUAUCGUAAGAUAGGUUAGUUUUACCCUACUAAUAACCGUCGUCCUAAUAGUAAUACCGGUUAGUACGAGAGGAACCGCGGUUUUAGAUAAUUAGUUUUUAUAGCUAUCCGACCGGGUAGUACCGUAAAGCUACUAUCUACUAGAUUAUAGCUAAACGCCUCUAAGUUAGAAUCUAUACUAGAACGGGACGAUCCUCUCUAGUACGCUUUAGGCGGAUAAGAAUAGGUACUACUAGUACCUAGGACCCCUUUAUCCCCUAUAAGAUACGUAGGGGCGACGGGCGUAUCGUAAUUUUAUUACGCGCUAGGAUAAAUCCCUUAUAUACGACUUAGACGUCCGACCGGGUCGUAUAAGUAGUCGAGUAGCCUUAUUAUUACGAGCUACUACGUAAGCCCGACGUCGGCUCGAUUUAUUAAAU